rnacentral:rRNA from 1 species
GACGAACGCUGGCGGCGUGCUUAACACAUGCAAGUCGAACGGAAAGGCCCUGCUUUUGUGGGGUGCUUGAGUGGCGAACGGGUGAGUAACACGUGAGUAACCUGCCCUUGACUUUGGGAUAACUUCAGGAAACUGGGGCUAAUACCGGAUAGGAGCUCCUGCUGCAUGGUGGGGGUUGGAAAGUUUCGGCGGUUGGGGAUGGACUCGCGGCUUAUCAGCUUGUUGGUGGGGUAGUGGCUUACCAAGGCUUUGACGGGUAGCCGGCCUGAGAGGGUGACCGGCCACAUUGGGACUGAGAUACGGCCCAGACUCCUACGGGAGGCAGCAGUGGGGAAUAUUGCACAAUGGGCGGAAGCCUGGUGCAGCAACGCCGCGUGCGGGAUGACGGCCUUCGGGUUGUAAACCGCUUUCGCCUGUGACGAAGCGUGAGUGACGGUAAUGGGUAAAGAAGCACCGGCUAACUACGUG